rnacentral:misc_RNA from 1 species
GGAAGGAUCAUUACCGAAACAAAAAAUCCACGAACGUCAGGCUCAUCGUCCGGGAGACCGGCGAUGGACCGAGAAAGCCUGCUCGAACUUGAUUUGAAAUGGUUUGAGAAUUUGGCUAUAACCAAGUCUUCCUUGCCCUGCGGGGCGAGGGAGCACUGUCUCUGACAAAUUUUGUAAACAAGCAAUAAAAUGAGAGAAAAAGACGAAUGAAACCUCGAGUGGUGGAUCACUCGGCUCGUGGGUCGAUGAAGAACGCAGCUAACUGCGUGCAGACGUGUGAACUGCAGGACACAUGAACACCGACAAUUUGAACGCACAUGGCGGCCUGAAAUAAAUUUCAGGCCAUGUCUGGCUGAGGGUCGGAAACUAGACUAAAACCAAGAUUGCUCAAGUGGCAGGUCCUUGGAGACUUGGCCGAGGAGCCGUAUCGCAGUGUACCCAGGCCUGCUAGAUGCACGUUGCAUGGAAAUUCACUUUGUGAUUGCAUAGCAUGGCACAUGACAGGGAGAGGGCACUAGCGCAUACGCAAGAGAGAGUGAGAGAAAUCUUACUCAAAGUUGCGACCUCAGAGCAGGCAAGAUUACCCGCUAAAUUUAAGCAUAUUAAUAAGCGGAGGAAAAGAAACUAACAAGGAUUUCCUUAGUAACGGCGAGCGAAAAGGAAAAAGUCCAGCGCUGAAUCUGGCAUCCCCCGGAUGUCAUGAAAUGUGGCGUUUGGGACGAAACUUUCCCUGUGCUUGAUGGUUAUCCAAGUCCCUCUUGAACGGGGCCAUCGCCCAUGGAGGGUGCCAGGCCCGUACGAUAACUUUGAUGCGCAGUGAGUUUUGUCCGUAGAGUCGGGUUGCUUGGGAGUGCAGCCCAAAUCAGGUGGUAAACUCCAUCUAAGACUAAAUAUGACCACGAGACCGAUAGCGAACAAGUACCGUGAGGGAAAGUUGAAAAGAACUUUGAAGAGAGAGUUAAAUAGUACGUGAAACCUCUCGGGGGUAAGCGGGCAGAACUUGCAAGUAUUGGUGGGAGACUCAGGCUCGGAGACUCUGACUGUAGGGGCAUGUUCAGGUUGAGCUUCGGCGAGACCGACUUGUUCCUGAGGAUUGGGGUCGACGCGCAGCAUUUCUCCUUGCCAUUCGGGCUACGCGCAACUAAGAUGGCAUUUUAGGUGCUGGGAGUCUGCAGAGGCACUUUGUGUUUCUGAGCCCUGGUUUCCGAUUGCCGCUGUGGUUGUUGUUGAACGCGAGCAGGCGUUUGCCGCGGUCAGUGCUUUGGACGAGUUGGGUGCGCGUGAUGUGUGGACGGUUUCGUAGCAUGUUACGCGUACUAGUUGUCGGUCUGAGGUAUUCUGGCCCUGCUCAUUUACCGUAGCCUAAAACCUGUGUGGUCUGCCUGUCCCGUCUUGAAACACGGACCAAGGAGUCUAACAUGUACGCGAGUCAUUGGGAAGAGAAACUCAAAGGCGUAAUGAAAGUGAAGAUUCGUGUAUACGAAUUGAGGAGAGAUCAAGGCAUGACUUGAGAUACUGAAAAGUUUAGCGAGUUGAAUGUAUGCGCAUCUCCUGGACGUCUAUACCUUCGAAGGUGGGGCGUACCUAGAGCGUACACGUUGGGACCCGAAAGAUGGUGAACUAUGCCUGGUCAGAACGAAGCCAGGGGAAACCCUGGUGGAGGUUCGUAGCGAUUCUGACGUGCAAAUCGAUCGUCGGAACUGGGUAUAGGGGCGAAAGACUAAUCGAACCAUCUAGUAGCUGGUUCCUUC